rnacentral:rRNA from 1 species
GAUGAACGCUGGCGGCGUGCCUAAUACAUGCAAGUCGAGCGAAUGGAUUAAGAGCUUGCUCUUAUGAAGUUAGCGGCGGACGGGUGAGUAACACGUGGGUAACCUGCCCAUAAGACUGGGAUAACUCCGGGAAACCGGGGCUAAUACCGGAUAACAUUUUGAACCGCAUGGUUCGAAAUUGAAAGGCGGCUUCGGCUGUCACUUAUGGAUGGACCCGCGUCGCAUUAGCUAGGUGGUGAGGUAACGGCUCACCAAGGCAACGAUGCGUAGCCGACCUGGGAGGGUGAUCGGCCACACUGGGACUGAGACACGGCCCAGACUCCUACGGGAGGCAGCAGUAGGGAAUCUUCCGCAAUGGACGAAAGUCUGACGGAGCAACGCCGCGUGAGUGAUGAAGGCUUUCGGGUCGUAAAACUCUGUUGUUAGGGAAGAACAAGUGCUAGUUGAAUAAGCUGGCACCUUGACGGUACCUAACCAGAAAGCCACGGCUUACUACGUGCCAGCCGCCGCCGUAA